UACGAAGGGGGCUAGCGUUGCUCGGAAUCACUGGGCGUAAAGGGUGCGUAGGCGGGUCUUUAAGUCAGGGGUGAAAUCCUGGAGCUCAACUCCAGAACUGCCUUUGAUACUGAGGAUCUUGAGUUCGGGAGAGGUGAGUGGAACUGCGAGUGUAGAGGUGAAAUUCGUAGAUAUUCGCAAGAACACCAGUGGCGAAGGCGCUCACUGGCCCGGUACUGACGCUGAGAUACGAAAGCGUGGG
rnacentral:rRNA from 1 species